AUUGAACGCUGGCGGCAGGCCUAACACAUGCAAGUCGAACGGUAACAGGGAUCAGCUUGCUGAUUCGCUGACGAGUGGCGGACGGGUGAGUAAUGUCUGGAAACUGCCUGAUGGAGGGGGAUAACUACUGGAAACGGUAGCUAAUACCGCAUAACGUCGCAAGACCAAAGAGGGGGACCUUCGGGCCUCUUGCCAUCGGAUGUGCCCAGAUGGGAUUAGCUAGUAGGUGGGGUAACGGCUCACCUAGGCGACGAUCCCUAGCUGGUCUGAGAGGAUGACCAGCCACACUGGAACUGAGACACGGUCCAGACUCCUACGGGAGGCAGCAGUGGGGAAUAUUGCACAAUGGGCGCAAGCCUGAUGCAGCCGUGCCGCGUGUAUGAAGAAGGCCUUCGGGUUGUAAAGUACUUUCAGCGGGGAGGAAGGGAGUAAAGUUAAUACCUUUGCUCAUUGACGUUACCCGCAGAAGAAGCACCGGCUAACUCCGUG
rnacentral:rRNA from 1 species